rnacentral:rRNA from 1 species
AGUGAGCGCUGGCGGUAUGCCUAAUACAUGCAAGUCGAACGGCAGCACAGUAAGAUCUCGCCCUUACGGGUGGCGAGUGGCGGACGGGUGAGGAAUACAUCGGAAUCCACUUUUUCGUGGGUGAUAACGUAGGGAAACAUACGCUAAUACCGCAUACGACCUACGGGUGAAAUCAGGGGAUCUUCGCACCUUUCGCGACUGAAUGAGCCGAUGUCGGAUUAGCUAGUUGGCGGGGUAAAGGCCCACCAAGGCAACGAUGCGUAGCUGAUCUGAGAGGAUGAUCGGCCACACUGGAACUGAGACACGGUCCAGACUCCUACGGGAGGCAGCAGUGGGGAAUAUUGGACAAUGGGCGAAAGCCUGAUCCAGCCACACCGCGUGAGUGAAGAAGGCCUUCGGGUUGUAAAGCCCUUUUGUUGGGAAAGAAAAGCAGCGGGUUAAUCCCUCGCUGUUCUGACGGUACCCAAAGAAUAAGCACCGGCUAACUUCGUG